UAGCAUUGUUGCCUAAGCCAUUGGUGCUACCCGGAACUAGCUGAGUUUUAAUGCAGUGCAAUAGGAAUUAUUUGCUUCCACAGGGCCUUGUCCUGCUGUGGGCUGCUCCUUCCCAGAGUUGGACCUUG
rnacentral:snoRNA from 1 species